rnacentral:lncRNA from 1 species
GAGCACUCUUCUUCCCCCUUUAGCUGUCCUUAUAUAUAGUUCUAAUAAAGAUAGUGCAACUAGAGGAGAAAUGCAGUGCAGAAUGGAAAAUGAAUUCACGUUAGUCAUACACCUCACUGGAUAAUUAAUGGCAUAUCUUGCUGCCUGCAUGCAAGGCUUCAAAACUGAUUAGCUGGCAGCUUUCACUGCUGUCCCACUGUAUAAGAAAGUAUGGCUAUAAAAGAGAAUUCAGCUUCACAGAGUCAUAUACGCUUAAAUUUCAUUGAUAGUAACAACGUGAACAAGAAUAUGUGAGGAAAAAAAGCAUAAGAAAACAAUUCUUCAAACCUAAAAAUAAAAAAAAGGACACAGAACAGCCACCUACCAACCAGUGUAAGAAAUCGAGGUUGCAAGAGAAAACACUUCAAUCCCGCAAGAAGCAAUUAGAAGAUCUUGUGGAAAUAGUGCAUCAAGAAGAUGAGUCUCCAGAGGAACAAACUGCUUUUUCCUUAUACGUUUUUUUUUUAUUAUUAUUGUUCACAUGGAACUCAUCUGACUGUAUAUUCUCUCCACAGCAUUUGAAUGUUGCUUUCCCCUUUCUGGAUGAUUAUCUGUCCUCUGCUGUAAGGAGGUACCAAUAAGCAAAAGCUUUCAAGGCUGCUGAAAGGGAUGAAGUACUUUUUUAUAUCUCUGUGUAGAACACAACGCUUGGAGGGGGGAAAUAGCAAAAUAUUGUUUGUCUCCAGCAUGCUUUGGAGAAGUGCCUGGUUUAUUUACUCACGUCCCACCUGAAACAACCCGCAGAUUCAUUUAAAUAAAUAAGCUUGCACCGCACAGUAGGUUUUUAUGUGUGUGGAGCAGGGUAGAGAGGGUAAUGGAAAUUCUCCCUUGUGCAGGGCGGAUUAGUUGAUGCUUAGGCAAUUUUUACCCACCCCCCACCUGGUUUUCCUGCUUUCCCUGUGAAGUUGGUUUGAGCUGAAAGAGUCUGGGUCUCUCCUAAUCCAGGGCACUUAGUCCUUGGUUUUAGGCACUUUAUAAUCUUCUAGACCACACGUGGUUUAAAAUGUGUCAUUGUAAUUCUCUAGUCACAGUCACCUGGAAGCUGAAAAGACCUUCAUAUCCUUGAAUUUGAUACCAGCUUAGAAAUUGCUGCUCUUUCUCAGAGGUAACUGAAGGCACGUUACAAUCUGGUUUAAUAGGUUAUAUGAUCAAUCAACGCAAAGGCACACACCUGUCCUAUUAAUACUGUGAUAUGAUUAUUGAGCUAUGACUAGCUUAUACACAAAUAUUCUGCACUUAUAGGUUCGUGAAAGCUGAGGAAAAUCUUAAUUAGCUUUGAUGCUCCUGGAUUGCUGAGUAAAGGAUAGUUUUACCAAGGCCUGAUUGAACUGAUUGUUGUGACCCCAUGCUCUGCACUGUGUUUCCACAACAGAAUUGAUCUUUUUUCCAGAUGAAGACAUAUACCAUUCUGAACCACAUUUGAGGGUGUUUCCAACUAAGCUUGGUGAGGGAUGAAGCUAUAAGGACUCAUUGCCAAGAAAUGCUAGUGGAUACACACCUUCACCCCUCUUGCAGAGAACUAUUGAUGGGCUCACGUGGCUGAGAUAUUUAUGAAGAAACUUCUUGUACAAGGUAUGAGUGUAUGUGCGUGUGCACCGUUGCAUUUAGUGCUAAAAUAAUUGCCUGACGUGCAGAACAGGCAAAAUCAGAAAUGUGAGGAAUGGAAUAAAUGAAACUUGUCAGGUCUGUAUCCUUUUUAUACUUUUAGAUAGUCAGAAUUCUCCUUCUGUGAGAAACUCACUUGCCUGCUCCCCAGGCUGUUAGCAGGAAGGAUUGAUUUGAGGCCUUAACCUAUGCAGUUCCAGCUGGGACAUUCAGACAGUGCAGGCAGUACAUGAAUGGUUGUUGAAAAAAAUAAUAUUCCAUUACUGAUGGUACUACGAAAUGCUAGGAAGAAAGAAGGGUUAUGAUUUAUAUUGUGUUAUGCCAGUGUAAAAGAGAAAGAUCUACUGAAGCAUCCGCUUGUUUCUCCUGAGAACAGCACUGUCAGCUCAAGAUUGUGCCCCAAGGUGUUUUUUGACCAAGGGAAAAUAAAAUAGCCAUAUAGACAGGUAGGUGCCUCUAAUCCCAAUAAUGACAGCAGCAUGACCAUACCAGACAGACUGUUAAUCUUUCUAGGCUUGUAUAUCUAUAUCUACCUUACAUGCUCAAAUUUUGCCCCCUAGGUUUCCUGUUCCACAGAACAGGAAGCCUGUUCUGACUUCCACACAAUUUAAAUUUUCAAUUUAGAUAUCACUGAUAUUUUUAAAAUAUUGUUUAUCUGCUGCCUAGAUUCUUGACAUUGAAGUCUUCCAAAAUAUCUGCACCAUCUGUCACAGUCUAAUAAUUACCAUUCUAAUUAUCACUAAUAAAGGGAUGAAGUCAUUUAUCACAAAGUUUAUGCAUAGCACCAGUCACCCAUUCACCCAGUAUACAAUUGAAUCUACCACUGGGGGAUUUUGGAUAACUCGUGAGUCAAAGACUGGGUUAAUUGUAUGCAUAGAGGGCUAAGAAGAGUGUACUGGAAUUGUGUAGAUAGUUUGAAAGGGUGGGUAUGAAUGACCAUAUGUGAGAUAGAGCAAGGAUGGGGUUUUAAUUGGUGAUGGCAAAAUGAGGUUGUUUUGAAGCACAGUGUGGGAUAAGGGAGAUAGGUAUUUAUUCCGAACAGUAGAUUCCACAAUAGCUAUAUAUAGAUUGUGUUUUCCAAGAGUACAGGUGCAAGGAAUGGUUCAGUGCUCUGUGGUAAGUGUGGUUAUGGUGACUACAGGUUAAAGCACACACACUGGGAAAGGAAAGCAGCUGCCUUCUAAGCUGUACUCCAAUGAGUUUAUGGAGACGUCGUGGCAGUUGAAUUUAUACGAGCUGAACAGCUUCAAAAGAAAUGCUGAGUAGUCCUUACUGCUGCACAACUGAUGGCCAAGUCCAGGGAGGACAUUCAGAGGGAGGAACCCAGCCCUUCCCAAACCAGGUCACAGGAUUCAGCCUCAGCCUGCCUCUUCCCAGCUCAGCAAUGCAAUUAAUGACCUUCUGGGUGGGAAGGACACAAGGGACUGUGUUCUGCAUGAGGUCCAUAACAUCCAUCACAUUGGGUCCUUCAGGAAUGACAGCUGGGAAACAUCAUCAGCUGUGAUUCAGGCUCAUCUGCUCAGCCAACAAAGCAGCCAGUAACUCCAGGGUUUGAAGACAUCUGAUUUGAGGUUUUGAGGACAUUCCUUUAAGCAUUUGAUCCAAAACCACAGCUACAGAGCUUGGAAUACUCUAGUAAGUCUAGCACAUAACAUUUAAACAAUAUAAAACCUUUGCUGUGAUGCAAACAUUAUAUGACAAAAAAAAAACAGUAUAACAAAAGCUGCUUUUAGAACGUCUAACUGGGUUAAAUUCCAUUAUUAUCUUAAGUAAGGCUAAAAACUAUAGGCGUAUAUUUUCCACAAUCUGCUAAUUGUUAAUUAAUAUCCAAGAUAACAAAAGAAACCCACUAUAUCACUCAGAUUUAAUGAUCUUGUGCUGGAAAAUGUUCCGAAUUGCCCUUCUUUGAAAUACUCAGCUCACCAGAAACUUCCCCAUAAGUCUUUUAGUUUCUUCUCCACUGAAGGGUGCUCUGAAAUCUUCACCUUUUCCUUUCAGGUGUUUAUACAGAAGAUGACCACUGAUAGCAUGAACAACUUUUACUGUUCCUUGAGCUUGGAGUUCAUAAUGCUGUUUGGACAUUAUAAGCCCUUAAGUACUGUAACAAAGUGAACGUUCAGCUCCAGGAAUUUCAAAUCCAGGCGAAGUGAACUUGCUGAUUAACUCUGUGAAUGAAUUUCGUGGUUUAGUAGAGGCUCUGAUGACAGCAAAUGAAAAUCUGUCUUAAACUGUAGUAAAACCUGCAGGAAAUACAAGGCACCUGCUGAGAAAUCAGCUUUCUCUUUAGCUAUUACGUUUAAUCUCUUUGACUCUUGUCUAGUUCUUCUAGGUUAGUGGGAACAUAGGUAUGGAUUUUACAGUGCUGUCAUCACCAGUGAAAUGCUCAUAUUAAUCUAGAUUUGUAUGCUAUAUGGCUGUUGGCAAUGAGGACAGUUAACAUUCCAGUAUCAAUUUCCCUUCAAGGAUACUGAAGAGCGUUGGAAACAUUAAGCUUUGAGGCUAGUAAUUUACUAAUGAGAACACUGAUUCAAAGAGAAAUUAGAACCUUAAUCUCUCACCCAGUGAAGCCAAUAGAAAUCAUUUUGUGAUUUCCUUGGGCAGACUCUGUGUAGUUUGUAAAAGGUCACAGAAGAAAUCACAGAAAAAUUAGACUGAGGUCCAAUAACUUUGUGCUUGCCCAGUAGGAGAGUAGCUGCCCCUUGUGCUACGCCUGUACCCUUUAGAUCCAAAUCCCUUUUCCUUAGUGCAGUUGAAAAAUAUUCCAAUAAACCUUGAUUUGCUGGGACCUCAUUCCCGCGUCACCACCAGCUGUGUGCUGUAGCAGAGGAGAUGUGGAACAAUAAUAUAACAGCUUUGGAGCUCUGUUAUUUUUCAUUCAGGCUGAACACCACAGGUGUCCUUCCUGGCACCCUGUGGUGGAGGCUGAUUCUCUAAGCAGAUUUUGGAAGCAAAGAUCUCUUGGACAAGUUUCCUACAGAAGCAUAAAGCCGCUCCCACCAAACUGAAGAACCAAAACCUUGCCACUGUGUUUACGUGCUCACAGUGACAUGAAGUCCUUUAGUACAACUCAAGGCCAUGCCCAACUUCAUAGAAAUGAAGUUUCCAAAUUCUUUGAAGCAGUUAAACUUUGACGAAAAGCUGUACUGCACUGCUGAGACCUUUCAUUGAACUAAAGCAUCCGGUUUUCAGAGUGACAGGGUGACAUUGAGGAAAUCACAAUUAAGUUCUUCAAACGUGUUAUUUUAUAGGUAGUAUCCUCCAAGGCCUGAUCCAAAGUGCUCUGUACUCAGUAGGAACCAUUCCACCUCAGGGCUCACUCAAUGUUUUCCAGCAUGCUCUGUCUCUGGUAAUAUUUCAAGCAGUUUAUUACAGAAUUGCAUAAUGCAAUAUGCAUUGCUCGUGUGGGUAGAAACCUUUAUAUCAACAGUCUAGAUAAAUGCCAGCACUGCUAUCAUAAUACACUUCAAUAGAGGUAAGAAAUAUAGUGAUGUGUUUACAAAUUUGAUCCAUUCAGAGCCCUGGGCUGUAGUAACUUAUAUAUAGGAGCAUUUAUGUAGAAAACCACUGGAGCAUAUGCAUGAUUAUUUAUCAAGAUGCUCUAUGUAUGGUGUUGGUAUUAUGCAUUAUGCUUGAUAUAACAGGAAUAAACACUUCAUGAAAGAACACAAAGGACACCAGAAAGGUAUAUCACAAACAUAUUUUUAUAAUGAACCCACAGAGUAUUUAUGCUGUAGAUUCCACAUAAAGUGUGUGUGAGCUAGCCAAGUACAGCCCUCCCAAAACCAGGUAAGCAGUACAGUUUUAUAAUGAUGAUAUAACUGAAAGAGCCUUCAUUGACUUUAAGUACAAACCUUAUGCUUUCUAAUGUUCCUUCAACUUCCUUGUCACGUAAAGGUCAGUCCACAGCACAGUAGAAGGAAUGGAUGUAUAUCUACGAUACGCACAGCAGAUUUAAGCAUUUGUACUCAUUUGGGUUUAGCCAACUAUGCUGUGCAGUGAGUGGCAAAUGUAUUAUUCUGUUGUGCCAUAUAAAGUAUUAUUCCAGGUGUUUGAAAUAAUGCAUACAGUUAAAGGUUAUGGCAGAAUAACAUUAAAGAAAUUCACUGUUUCUUGGCCUGAUGGUAGUAUGGAUGAUAAAAAGGAGAUGGUUAUUACAGCCUUGAAGCAUUACAGUUAUUUUGCUAUGAUAAUAGUCCUCAGAUUUUGUUAUAGCCCUAGUAUGUUACCUGAAAGUUAAAAUGCAAUUUACAGGUCUGUGAUCUCUUAUUGUCUAGAAUGUAAUUUCUAAAAGAAAAUGAGUGGUGAUCUUGAGGAUAAAUCCUGGUUUCUUUAAACUUGUUUUUUCUUUUCUUUUUUUUUUUUUGUAAGAGGAGGUUUAUUCCUCAGAGAAUGAAUCAAUCCAGGAUUGUCACUUCUAGAUUGAAAUACGCCAAGAUGAAUAUCUCUUCCACUUCAUACUGUUAUCACUCUUUGUUACCAACUUAUUAUGGACUACAGGUAGCAAGUGCUUCUGGACUUACAGCAAUACACCAAAGGUGUCAGAUGGCCAGGAGCUUCCAACCAGACCCUGCAUGAUUUGAGUGGCCCAAUGGAUUGUUUUGGUUCUACUUGUGAGCUAUUUUGAAAUAUUACAGUGUCCAUUACCGCAGUAUUAGCACUUCACUGUCCUUAAUGCUGUUUAAUCCAUCAGUUUUAGAGUCCCAAACCAAGGACUCCCUGCCAGCAGUCACCGCUACCGAUGCAGUGCACACUGUCAGAUUGCAACCUUGGCCAUAACAAGGUCAUGUAAUAAAGCACAUGACAGAGGAAAGACUGUAAUAAUAAUUAUUUCCAUUGUGUAUAAUAAAUAAUAUAAUAAAGCUUAGUUGUAAGCAUUAGAAGAGCCGUGAAAGUCAAGGCAGAUCUUUUGUGUUUGAUUCUCUCCUUCUGUGUACAGAAAUAAGAAAAAAAAAAAGGAAAAGAAUUGGUAGAAUGUUCCAGCUAAAGCAGAGCUGGUUCCAGAGAAGCUGAGAAAGAAAUGAGAUGGUGUCUCAACUAUGGCAAUGCAGAAUAGAAACUUAAUAUUUGUUCUGCAGUUUGUGUUCUGCGUUACUUUACUUUAAGGGACUGGGAAGUGUUUGAUUGAAAAAGGACUCCUUUCCCAGGGUGUAUCACUCAUCCAGAUUUCCCUUUGUAACUCGGGGUACUCAAAGUCAUUUCUUCCACCAAAAUCUGUCUGAUAUCUCUGUCUUUCUGGAGCUUCACACAUGACUGGAAAUCAAGCAUUCAAGGCAAAUACUACAGUUAAGUAUUAAACCUGACAGUUUUAUAUGUCUAGUACAAUAAUUGAUUCCAUGUUAUGCUAACCUACUCCACAGGUUAAAGCAGUGAGGGACAGCUCCAUCUCAUACAGGAGUCCCUGAAUUAUUAUUUUUAAGGUAUUUAAAAGCACCGAGGCAAUUCACAUUUCUAUUUUAUAAGCAUUUGUAUGGUUGAAGAAUAGAAUACAGGGAGCACUUGCA